rnacentral:lncRNA from 1 species
GCAGUCGCGUCGGCGGCGGCGACGCGACAGGAAACGGGAUCGUCGCCUACUCGCCUCCGCGGCUUCGUCUCAUCGACUCAUCGGAUCGAUCAGCCGAUGCCGUUGUUGCCUUCCUCUCUCAAGUUUCAGACUUGUCGCAUCGAUCGGCGACCGACUCCAAGUGCUUCACAGCUUCCAUCCUCUAGGUGCUUCACGGAUUCAAAACAGGUAAAUUGCCGCUAGCGAGUCUUUUUUAUUAACUUCGGCUCCUACUCUUAAUUUCUAAUUUCCUAAAUCCUAAUUAACUUUUGGCGUGGAUCAUUAGAGAUCGGUUCUCGCCUCCUCCGUUAACAAUCACAGUGUAGCAGUUCAACGGGACAUGACACAAGACUAGGUGAGUUAGACUGUUCGUCUAAUUGUGAAACAUUGACACAUGAUUUUCAAUUGAUAUCUAUGCGUAUCACUACAAUUUUAUUUUAUUCACCUUUUUUGUCUUGUGUUUCAAUAAUACAUAUUUGAGUCAUUAUGAGAAAACAUCAGUCUGGUUUUAGAAGUGCAAGAGAAAAGAAAGAGAAAAUAAUUUAAUCAUCAAAUCUUAUAAAGGUGGCAUGAACAAGUUUGUCAGAAAAGAAGCAUCACAAGUGUCAUC